rnacentral:rRNA from 1 species
ACGAACGCUGGCGGCGUGCCUAAUACAUGCAAGUCGAACGCUUCUUUCCUCCCGAGUGCUUGCACUCAAUUGGAAAGAGGAGUGGCGGACGGGUGAGUAACACGUGGGUAACCUACCCAUCAGAGGGGGAUGACACUUGGAAACAGGUGCUAAUACCGCAUAACAGUUUAUGCCGCAUGGCAUAAGAGUGAAAGGCGCUUUCGGGUGUCGUUGAUGGAUGGACCCGCGGUGCAUUAGCUAGUUGGUGAGGUAACGGCUCACCAAGGCCACGAUGCAUAGCCGACCUGAGAGGGUGAUCGGCCACACUGGGACUGAGACACGGCCCAGACUCCUACGGGAGGCAGCAGUAGGGAAUCUUCGGCAAUGGACGAAAGUCUGACCGAGCAACGCCGCGUGAGUGAAGAAGGUUUUCGGAUCGUAAAACUCUGUUGUUAGAGAAGAACAAGGACGUUAGUAACUGAACGUCCCCUGACGGUAUCUAACCAGAAAGCCACGGCUAACUACGUG